ensembl:lncRNA
UUUCCCUCCAGCCUCCUCCUCUGGCACGUGCACCACUGAGAGACCUGCAGUCCUGCACCCGCGGAACCAGCAUGGUUCUGUUCCCUUGGCAGCUUGGAAAUGGCUGACUGCGGUGUGGGCUGGGGUCUGGCAGGGAGGCUGGUAGGAACAGGUGCUGCAAGGAGAGACGAGAACAGCUGGGUGUCCUCUGGCAGUGCAGGUUGUGACGGCAAAUCCUCAAAGAAGCACAGACGGAGGCUCCAAAAUUUAUCAAGCGGAAUUGAAACGGGCACCCGAUCGCCGUUCUGUAACUGAAGGUUCUUUCUCUUCUACCACGUCGUAUUUAUCCUUCCGCAUUUCUUUGCCAGGCUAAUGAAUGUCAGCUCUCACCCGCCAAGCAUGCGUUCACGCCUAACCCUGCGUCCCGGCGCGGUGUGCAGGAGGCUGGGCGAGGAGUCUGUACCGCCAAGGUCUCGUGGGCCCCCUGGUGGCCGACAUCCUCGCGAAGGAGCCGCAAGUCCGGGAAAGCGCCGAGCUCCAGCACUCGGGACCCUUGGGUCAGAAUCCCCAGCCCCAGAGAAAGAGGUUCCCACGUUGAGGCAAAUCAUCUGCUUCCAUCAGGGUCAUCUGGGAGGCUGAACACCUCCGACGUCAUCAGGGCCAGUCGUUUUCCAAAUGCGUUGAGAGAACUCCAAGGAGAUUAUAACCUCUGCAUUUUACAUUUAAAUUCCAUCAGGUUUAAGCACUGCAUCCCCUCCACUCUCGACAUGCUUUCUUUGUUUUGAUGCGUCUCAUGUUUUGAUAUUUGAAGACGAGACGCACCUUGCAGUUGAUGUGCUGCACUUGACGCGGUCGCCGCUUGUCCUCUGGAAAAGUAUCUGUUCCUUGGUGGCUUGGGGGUGACUGUUCAAUUAGUAGGAUCUCGGCAUCGAGAACAUCGGGUACAUCACGAACUAGUCCACAAUGUGUAGACGCAACAGGCUUACAUUUCUUUCUUUUCAUGAUCAAACUCUAUCCAGCAG